UACGUAGGGGGCAAGCGUUGUCCGGAAUCCUUGGGCGUAAAGCGCGUGUAGGCGGCCCGAUAAGUCCGCUGUGAAAGUCCAGGGCUCAACCCUGGGAUGCCGGUGGAUACUGUCGGGCUCGAGUCCGGAAGAGGCGAGUGGAAUUCCUGGUGUAGCGGUGAAAUGCGCAGAUAUCAGGAGGAACACCAAUGGCGAAGGCAGCUCGCUGGGACGUGACUGACGCUGAGACGCGAAAGCGUGGGGAGCAAACAGG
rnacentral:rRNA from 1 species